rnacentral:rRNA from 2 species
AUCAGGGGUAAACCUGUGGAACUCGAACGAGCGAACGGGGAGAUUCAUCGCUCAUUCGGGAGUCCGCGGCGCGGGGUAGACGGUUUGGCUCUCGGGCCAGAUUGCACUUCGCGUCGCAGCAGGCUCCCCGGAGUGCGUGCACUUCUCCCUUAGUAAAACACCGCGACCCGUUGGUGUUUCGGUCGAACGCGCCGUGCGGUUGUCCCGUUUUCUCGGUUCUCCGAGAGACGGAGCCGCGGUGUCGCGGCCGAAAUCCGACGGUAACGAACGAGGCUUGCGUCCGCUCACUGAGCGUCCGCGCUGUGGCGACGUCCCUUUCUCUGYGGGUCUUCGACGUAACGCGUCAAGGCUCACACCGCGAAGGUCGUGCUGUCCCGGCGCUCGGACGGGACGCGUCCCGGUCUGCGGUGGUUUUGUUUCGGGCACUCACAGGACCC